UUAACGUAAUUUUUUAAUUUUGGAGAUAAAUCGACAAAAUUUGUAAAUUCAAGUUGCUGUCUAUAUUUAUGUGACGAGCACUGUGUGCUGCCAGCGUCGAGCAAACAAAAUCGAAAACGGGUUGCUGCUGCCUUUGGCGGGAGGAGACGUCGUCAGUACUGUCGGUCCUGUCGGUACUGCCCCAUGGCUUUUUCGUUCUGGCUCUGGCAAGUGGCAAGUGGCAAGUAGCAAGUAGCAAGUGGCAAGUGGUGAGAAGCGGACUGACGGAGUGCGGGGAAAGAGGCAAUCGUUGUAGUUGUAGUUGUUGGCUGGUCGGUCGGUCACUAACUGGUCGUGUUUGCAUUUAACGAACAACGCCACAGCAGCAACAAUAACAAUAAGGGGCAAUAACAAGCGUGCUUGCCGCACAUUCCGCGCCAAGGCCGCUAAUGGGCUGGGAGUCGUGUGGAGUGUGGAUUGUGGAGUGUGGAGUGUGGAUUGUGAUGUGCUGGUGUCGUGGCAGGACGUCAUGACGGGUGGUGGGGAUGUUGCUGUGUGGUGGUUAGUGGUGUUAGUGGGGCUAAUAAAAGCCUUGUUACAAUGAAAACAAAUCAAAUCGACGCCGAAGCCAUCCAUCAAGUCAAACCAAACUCGAGUUCAAAUGAUACGCUGCUAACGCAUACAAAUACGAAUACACCAAGAAUAACGGCCAACUUCUAAAAUAAAGAGUAUUUAUCUUA